rnacentral:lncRNA from 1 species
AGGGCGUGUUUAUAAAGUCUGUUUAAUGUAAGGUAGGGUGUGUUUAUGAAGUCAAUUUCAUGUAGGGUAUUUCUAUGAUUCUAUAGUCAGAAAUGGGUUUCUUUAUAGUUAUCUAUUAUUUUAUUUGGAAUAAUUCACCCAGUUGGUCAAAAAAAUUUAGAAGUCAGCACUUUGUUGUUAAUUUUUGUUUUGUUUUGUUUUGUUUUGUUUUGAUUAUAUAUAUAUAUAUAUAUAUAGAGAGAGAGAGAGAGAGAGAGAGAGCUCUUUCAUUGAGGGAUCCCUCAAAUACUUAUUUGAGGGACACUCCUUAUAUGCCCCACUCCGGAUUAUAUUUCACUAAUCCAAACUGUCUAUUUUGUACAUACUCAUUCAAAGAUCAUUUCUAGAAAAAAUCACUUAAAUUCGAUAUCAUUUGACCACUCAAUUGAAUUAUUGAAAUUUAGUACUUUCUUGAAGCACCAUGUUCUUUGAUUUUGUAAGACACAAUUGGAUGUCGAAACGAUUUCCGAUUUGUCUAAUUUUUUUGUAAAGAUGAUCUAUGAAUGAAGACCUAACAAAUUGAUGGUUUGGAUCAUUGUGAAAAAAAUUAUAAGGUACCCUAAAGGUCGUCCCUCAAUAUUUAUAUGAGAAAUUCAUUGCAAAGUUUGCAAACUAAAAAAAAGAAAAAAGCUUUAUAUAGUAUUAUAGAUACCGACAUUAGUGAAAAAAGAAAUUAAUGCUUAAUAUCUUCAUUUCAUUAUUAAGAUUCCGUUGAAUAUCAUCUUUCUUUCUAAACUGUUCUCGUGAUGUAUAUUUUCAGUAACAUUUAAGGCACCAACUUGUUUACUAACUUUUGGAUACCAAACACAUCUGACAUAUGACAUGACAACCCUGUUUUAAUUACAUAAUUCGUUAAAAAAAUAAAAAUAAUUUCACAUAGAAAAAAUGAAAACAGAAAUAAAAAAAGAAAUAAAAGAAACCCAACGAUUUUAGAUUUACAGAUAAACCUUUUGUGGUUUAGCGUUAAACCUCCUUCUUCCUCUCUGAAAAACCCUAAAAAUUCAGCAGUCCUUCCAUUGAAGAAUUGAAGAAAUU